rnacentral:rRNA from 1 species
GACGAACGCUGGCGGCGUGCCUAACACAUGCAAGUCAGGGAGAAAAGGGUAGCAAUAUCCUGAGUAAACCGGCGAACGGGUGAGUAACACGUAGGCAACUUACCUUGAGAACGGGAAUAACCCCGGGAACCGGGGCUAAUACCCGAUGUUAUUCCGUUGUAGCAUUGCAAUGGAAUAAAAAGACCCGCAAGGGCGUCACAAGAUAGGUCUGCGUCCCAUUAGAUAGUUGGCGGGGUAACAGCCCACCAAGUCGACGAUGGGUAGCUGGUCUGAGAGGACGAUCAGCCACACUGGAACUGAGACACGGUCCAGACUUCUACGGAAGGCAGCAGUGGGGAAUAUUGCUCAAUGGGCGAAAGCCUGAAGCAGCGACGCCGCGUGAAGGAUGAAAUCCGUUAGGAUGUAAACUUCUUUUGCGGGGGAAGAAUGUGCGCCUUGGGCGCAUUGACGGU